rnacentral:misc_RNA from 1 species
UUGGCCAGUGCUUUUGUGGUUGCUAACGGCUGCCUGCAUUAAGACUGGACGGCCACAAAUUGCAAGACGAGCAAUUGAUCUUGCUGAGAGCCGCUUACUCAAGGACAGCUGGCCUGAAUAUUAUGAUGGAAAGCUCGGCAGAUACAUUGGUAAACAAGCAAGGAAGCACCAGACAUGGUCAAUUGCUGGAUAUCUUGUAGCAAAGAUGUUGCUGGAGGAUCCUUCACACUUGGGAAUGAUCUCUUUGGAGGAGGACAAGCAAAUGAAGCCUGUAAUCAAGCGAA